rnacentral:rRNA from 1 species
GACGAACGCUGGCGGCGUGCUUAACACAUGCAAGUCGAACGGAAAGGCCCUGCUUUUGUGGGGUGCUCGAGUGGCGAACGGGUGAGUAACACGUGAGUAACCUGCCCUUGACUUUGGGAUAACUUCAGGAAACUGGGGCUAAUACCGGAGAGGAGCUCCUGCUGCAUGGGGGGGGUUGGAAAGUUUCGGCGGUUGGGGAUGGACUCGCGGCUUAUCAGCUUGUUGGUGGGGUAGGUGCUUACCAAGGCUUUGACGGGUAGCCGGCCUGAGAGGGUGACCGGCCACAUUGGGACUGAGAUACGGCCCAGACUCCUACGGGAGGCAGCAGUGGGGAAUCUUGCACAAUGGCCGGAAGCCUGAUGCAGAAACGCCGCGUGCGGGAUGCCGGCUUUCGGGUUGUAAACCGCUUUCGCCUGUGACGAAGCGUGAGUGACGGUAAUGGGUAAAGAAGCACCGGCUAACUACGUG